rnacentral:rRNA from 1 species
CCUAGGGUCGCUCCAGUGGGGAAUAUUGCACAAUGGAGGAAACUCUGAUGCAGCAACGCCGCGUGGAGGAUGACACUUUUCGGAGCGUAAACUCCUUUUAUAUAGGAAGAAGAUGACGGUACUAUAUGAAUAAGCGCCGGCUAACUCCGUGCCAGCAGCCGCGGUAAUACGGAGGGCGCAAGCGUUACUCGGAAUCACUGGGCGUAAAGAGCGUGUAGGCGGAUUAAAAAGUCAGAAGUGAAAUCCUAUAGCUUAACUAUAGAACUGCUUCUGAAACUCUUAAUCUAGAAUAUGGGAGAGGUAGAUGGAAUUUCUGGUGUAGGGGUAAAAUCCGUAGAGAUCAGAAGGAAUACCGAUUGCGAAGGCGAUCUACUAGAACAUUAUUGACGCUGAGACGCGAAAGCGUGGGGAGCAAACAGGAUUAGAUACCCCCGUAGUC